rnacentral:rRNA from 2 species
UUUUUCGGAGAGUUUGAUCCUGGCUCAGGACGAACGCUGGCGGCGUGCCUAAUACAUGCAAGUCGAGCGGACAGAAGGGAGCUUGCUCCCGGAUGUUAGCGGCGGACGGGUGAGUAACACGUGGGUAACCUGCCUGUAAGACUGGGAUAACUCCGGGAAACCGGAGCUAAUACCGGAUAGUUCCUUGAACCGCAUGGUUCAAGGAUGAAAGACGGUUUCGGCUGUCACUUACAGAUGGACCCGCGGCGCAUUAGCUAGUUGGUGAGGUAACGGCUCACCAAGGCGACGAUGCGUAGCCGAC